rnacentral:tRNA from 2 species
UUACAUACUCGCCAAAUUGGUAAAGGCGCUUGAUUCGAGCUCAAGUUCAUGCAGGUUCAAAUCCUGCGUAUGAAA